UUCCAGGCUGUGAAGUAAAACAUUAACCUGAUGCUUGUUAAAAUGAUGGGGAAGACUAUUCAAGACUGUUGUAACAAGGGUAUUACAAUAGAGGAGAAAUAUUGGACUUAACUCUAUAUUACAGCAAAGACAGCCGAGUGUUUGUAGCCCAGAAGCAAAGUAGAGGGGGGUGUCAAUGGAUGGAAAAUUACUGAGACAUCAUGGGAAGGAGAUCAGGACGCUUGCUGAAAGCCAGGAAAGGACUUACACAUCAAAGGUCAGAGGUCACCCUCACUCUCUCUCCACUCCUGGGAAAUCCAGGAACUGUGUUCAGAGUGCAGACAUUGCUGUUUCUCCAGCUGCCCGACUCCAUCAGUGAUCAGCCCUCUUCUGGGAAUGAGCUGGCAAGAGAAGGGGACUUGGAUAGAUCCAGCCUCCCUGAGGAAGUGUUGAUUGGUGGUGAAGCGGGACAUGGGUGAACAGGAUCAAGGACACAGCUCAAGAGGAAGCAGCUCCACGUUCGUUUCUCUCCCUCCCAAAUUUCUCUUUAGAAAUUUAAAAGGAAAAAGAAUGGUUUCGUCAUUA